AGCAGCCGCGGUAAUUCCAGCUCCAAUAGCGUAUAUUAAAGUUGUUGCAGUUAAAAGCUCGUAGUUGAAUUUCGGGGUUCAUACGUUGGUCGGGCUUUUGGGUCUGUACUGGCGUAAUGGAUUCCUACCUUCUGAAUAACCGGCAUGUCAUUAAUUUGGUGCGCCGGGGAAGCAGGACUGUUACCUUGAAAAAAUUAGAGUGCUUAAAGCAGGCUAUCGCCUGAAUACAUUAGCAUGGAAUAAUGAAAUAGGACGGCAUGGUUCUAUUUUGUUGGUUUCUAGGAUCACCGUAAUGAUUAAUAGGGAUAGUUGGGGGCAUUAGUAUUCAAUUGUCAGAGGUGAAAUUCUUGGAUUUAUUGAAGACUAACUUCUGCGAAAGCAUUUGCCAAGGAUGUUUUCAUUAAUCAAGAACGAAAGUUAGGGGAUCGAAGACGAUCAGAUACCGUCGUAGUCUUAACCAUAAACUAUGCCGACUAGGGAUCGGACGAUGUUAAUUUUUU
rnacentral:rRNA from 1 species